GCGAUCAUACUAGCACUAGGGCACCAGAUCCCAUCAAAACUCCGCUGUUAAGUGUGCAUGGGCGAAAGUAGUACUAUGAUCGGUGACCCCCUGGAAGUCCUCGUAUUGCACCCC